rnacentral:rRNA from 1 species
AUUGCCCCAGUAACGGCGAGUGAAGCGGCAACAGCUCAAAUUUGAAAUCUGGCCCCUAGGGCCCGAGUUGUAAUUUGCAGAGGAUGCUUUUGGCGAGGUGCCUUCCGAGUUCCCUGGAACGGGACGCCAUAGAGGGUGAGAGCCCCGUCUGGUUGGAUGCCGAGCCUCUGUAAAGCUCCUUCGACGAGUCGAGUAGUUUGGGAAUGCUGCUCUAAAUGGGAGGUAUAUGUCUUCUAAAGCUAAAUACCGGCCAGAGACCGAUAGCGCACAAGUAGAGUGAUCGAAAGAUGAAAAGCACUUUGAAAAGAGGGUUAAAUAGUACGUGAAAUUGUUGAAAGGGAAGCGCUUAUGACCAGACUUGGACCCGGUGAAUCAUCCAGCGUUCUCGCUGGUGCACUUUGCCGGGCUCAGGCCAGCAUCAGUUUGCCUCGGGGGAUAAAGGCUUUGGGAAUGUGGCUCCCUCGGGAGUGUUAUAGCCCAUUGCACAAUACCCUGGGGCGGACUGAGGUUCGCGCAUCUGCAAGGAUGCUGGCGUAAUGGUCAUCAGCGACCCGUCUUGAAACACGGACCAAGGAGUCGUCUUCGUAUGCGAGUGUUCGGGUGUAAAACCCCUACGCGUAAUGAAAGUGAACGCAGGUGAGAGCUUCGGCGCAUCAUCGACCGAUCCUGAUGUUCUCGGAUGGAUUUGAGUAAGAGCAUACGGGGCCGGACCCGAAAGAAGGUGAACUAUGCCUGUAUAGGGUGAAGCCAGAGGAAACUCUGGUGGAGGCUCGCAGCGGUUCUGACGUGCAAAUCGAUCGUCAAAUAUGGGCAUGGGGGCGAAAGACUAAUCGAACCUUCUAGUAGCUGGUUUC